CUGCUGCACAAGCACAAGGACCUGAGUUCAAUCCCCAGUACCAAACAAAAAACAAAAAAACACUUUCAAGUGGGGGGCAACUGCCCUUCCUUGGGUUAGCCAGUUCUUAGAGAUGGCAAAGGGCCCAGCCAACCCAUGUAUUUGAUAUGCACCCUAAUCAGACCAGAGCCAGAUGGCCUCUAUCUGAUCCCUUAACCCUCAAAUGUCUCUAUUUACCCCUGGCCAAGUGCCAGCUAACUAGGAACUACACUUGUAAGCCAAAGUCACUGAAAUUAUUCAAACUAGCCAGUCCUAAACUGUAGACCUUGUCCUUGCCUUUAUAGAAACCCCGAUAAAGGCCUACACCUUCCUCUCACUCCUGCCUCUGCCACCUAACCACCCUGACAUCUUUCCUAUGUGACCCUGCGUGGGAUGCCCUGCCUCCUGCCUCCAGCACCUGAGCACAGGAAGAUCGAAUGGGAUUUUUUUUUUCCCUGCAAUGCUUGUGAACCCAGGACCUCACAUGUGACAGGUUGAGGGCCUGGAAUGUCAUGGAAGCUCAAGGAACCACAUGAACUGCUGAGGUACCGGAGGACGCACCAUCCAUCCUCACUAGAGACUGCUACUAGGCUGGUCUGUCUUGGUCACUGCAGAAGCCUGGGACACACUAGGCUGUUAAUAAAUGUUUCUUGGAAGCAAGAAAUGAGUAAAGCUGCCCAAAUGCCAGUGUCACUGUGAAGCACUGUUGCUGGAGGCUGUUCUGUGUCUCCCCAUUGCCCCUUUUGUGAUCCCAACACCUAGACAGCUCUUGGGCCUCAGACUUGCCCAGCUCACCUCCUGUCUUCCUCCCACACCUUCCUCUGUGCAGCCAGACCAGCCGCUCACCGUCCCCUCUCCGAGGUGCACAGGUCCACUGCAGACCACUGCAGGGCUGAAGCAUUCCCUCCACGGCCUGCCUAGAGUUCUUUCCUCUCCCACCUCCCUUGUAAAAUCCUGAAACUAGGUGUGGUGGCACACAUCUGUGAUCCCAGCAGUUGGGAGGCUGAGGCAGAAGGAUUACCACUAGUUCCAGGCCAUCCUGG